rnacentral:sRNA from 1 species
CCUCUCCCUCAAAUAAAUAAUAUCUGGAUUUAAUUUAUUAAUGGCCUUAUGUCUCAAAAUAGCUUAGACCUAACUAAGUACUACGGUAAUGCAUUACUGGGCUUAGCACCGCCAGUUUCUAAGCAGAGCUGAUCAGUGAUAGAUUCCUUCGAUGUGGACCAUGUGAAAAUGACUAAAAUCUGUCUGUCUUGACAUGGCGUAAAAAGAAAAUGAUAUAAAUUUAAAAAAAUAUAGAUUAUAACACUUUUGAAACACCAUACUUUUCACAAAAUUUUAAGAUUAUAACACUUUUAAAACACCAUACUUCUCGUGUGUUCGAUAAGUUCUUAAUAUGUUCGAUAAGAUAAGAUAAAGCUUAAAUUAUCGAACACUUUUUUACCUUUAUCUUAUCUUAUCGAACAUAUUAAGAACUUAUCGAACACAUGAGAAGUAUGGUGUUUUAAAAGUGUUAUAAUCUUAAAAUUUUGUGAAAAGUAUGGUGU